rnacentral:rRNA from 1 species
AGCUAGUUGGUGAGGUAACGGCUCACCAAGGCUAUGACGGGUAGCUGGUCUGAGAGGACGACCAGCCACACGGGAACUGAGACACGGUCCCGACUCCUACGGGAGGCAGCAGUGGGGAAUUGUUCGCAAUGGGCGCAAGCCUGACGACGCAACGCCGCGUGGAGGAUGAAGAUCUUCGGGUCGUAAACUCCUGUCGAGCGGGAAGAACGUUUCGCGGAUGAAUAAGCCGCGGAAGUGACGGUACCGCUAAAGGAAGCCCCGGCUAACUCCGUGCCAGCAGCCGCGGUAAUACGGGGGGGGCAAGCGUUGUUCGGAAUUACUGGGCGUAAAGGGCUCGUAGGUGGCCAACUAAGUCAGACGUGAAAUCCCCAGGCUUAACCUGGGAACUGCGUCUGAUACUGGAUGGCUUGAAUUCGGGAGAGGGAUGCAGAAUUCCAGGUGUAGCGGUGAAAUGCGUAGAUAUCUGGAGGAAUACCGGUGGCGAAGGCGGCAUCCUGGACCGAGAUUGACACUGAUGAGCGAAAGCCAGGGGAGCAAACGGGAUUAGAUACCCCGGUAGUCCUGGCCCUAAACGAUGAAUGCUUGGUGUGACGGGUAUCGAUCCCUGUCCUGCCGAAGCUAACGCAUUAAGCAUUCCGCCUGGGGAGGUACCGGUC